rnacentral:rRNA from 1 species
UACGUAGGGUGCGAGCGUUAAUCGGAAUUACUGGGCGUAAGGCGUGCGCAGGCGGGCUUUUAAGCCAGACGUGAAAUCCCCGGGCUUAACCUGGGAAUGGCGUUUGGGACUGGAAGUCUGGAGUGCGGCAGAGGAGACUGGAAUUCCUGGUGUAGCAGUGAAAUGCGUAGAUAUCAGGAGGAACACCGAUGGCGAAGGCAGGUCUCUGGGCUGACACUGACGCUCAUGCACGAAAGCGUGGGGAGCAAACAGG